rnacentral:rRNA from 1 species
AUACGUAGGGUGCGAGCGUUGUCCGGAAUUACUGGGCGUAAAGAGCUCGUAGGUGGUUUGUCGCGUCGUCUGUGAAAUUCCGGGGCUUAACUCCGGGCGUGCAGUCGAUACGGGCAUAACUUGAGUACUGUAGGGGAGACUGGAAUUCCUGGUGUAGCGGUGAAAUGCGCAAAUAUCAGGAGGAACACCGGUGGCGAAGGCGGUUCUCUGGGCAGUAACUGACGCUGAGGAGCGAAAGCAUGGGUAGCGAACAGGAUUAGAUACCCUGGUAGUCCAGGCCGUAAACGGUGGGCGCUAGGUGUAGGGGUCUUCCACGACUUCUGUGCCGUAGCUAACGCAUUAAGCGCCCCGCCUGGGGAGUACGGCCGCAAGGCUAAAACUCAAAUGAAUUGACGGGG